rnacentral:sRNA from 1 species
UGAUACCAGGCCGCAGCUGCGUACGUG